GCCCGGGUAGCUCAAUUGGCCAGAGUUUUCGACUUUUACAAUGUGCAUCUCGACAACGCUUGUAAUCACUGCAACGUUCAGAGUGUCGUAAAGGUAUCGGACGGUUGGGGGUUCGAGCCCCCCCUCGGGCG
rnacentral:tRNA from 1 species